UACGGAGGGGGCUAGCGUUGCUCGGAAUCACUGGGCGUAAAGGGUGCGUAGGCGGGGCUUUAAGUCAGGGGUGAAAUCCUGGAGCUCAACUCCAGAACUGCCUUUGAUACUGAGGAUCUUGAGUUCGGGAGAGGUGAGUGGAACUGCGAGUGUAGAGGUGAAAUUCGUAGAUAUUCGCAAGAACACCAGUGGCGAAGGCGGCUCACUGGCCCGAUACUGACGCUGAGGCACGAAAGCGUGGGGAGCAAACAGG
rnacentral:rRNA from 1 species